AAAAAAUUAGUUAAUGUUCUAUAAUAUAAUUUUGUCAAGAUUAAGUAAUUUUAUAAAUAUUUUUUA
rnacentral:tRNA from 1 species